UGUAAGAUCAGUGAGAGCCUCCGUCUGCUGAUCAGUGAGAGCCUCCGUCUGUAUGAUCAGUGAGAGCCUCCACGGCUCUUGGAGCGCUGGAAACAGUUCCCCCGACAGGUCUCUGGUAGUUUGUGGUCUUCAAACUGCACAUCAAAGUGUUCUUGGACUGGUCUCAUGGAUUUUAUUUCUACACAGGUGCAGACUAAUAUGCAACCACAGACUAUGUUUGCAGUCUCCUUUUAGAAAGAGUCUGACUCUGUGCCUAGGCUGGAGUGCAGUGUCAUGAUUAUAACUCACUGCAACCUCAAAAUCCUGGGCUCGAUGGUCCUCCUGCCUCAACCUCCCAAAGUGCUGGAAUUUACAGAGAAAAGGCAAAAAGACAGCAGUGUAUGAAGCAGGCUCCGCCAGACACUGAACCUACUGAUGCCUUGAUCUUGGACUUCCCAGCCUCCAGGAAAGUGAGAAAUAAGUUUCUGCUGUUUAUAAGCCAUCCUAUCUAUGGUAUUCUGUUAGCAGCCUGAACAGAUUAAGCCAAGUAUACAUCAUAUAUUUAGUGGUCAUAAAAUAUUUCAUAAUGUUACUUUCUCAUUAAUUUAUUGAACCAUUCCUCAAUUUCUGACUUACAGAUUACUUCCAAUUGUUGAGAAUUAAAUGUUUAUAUCAUUCUAGUUAAGAUUUAAACAUAGCACAAUUAGAUAGGGUUUAUGAAAGAAAUACAAGAUUGUUUACCCUCAGACCAUCUAUUAAAUUUGUUUAUCAUAUUAAAACUUUAAGGGGGAAAUCAUGAUUUAUAAAUAGAUGACACAAAAAACAAAUGAUUAAAUUUAGGAGUGAAUUUUAAGCCCCAUUUUAUUUAUUUAUUUUUAUUUUUGAACAGAGUCUAACUCUGUCAUCCAGGUUGCAGUGCAGUGGUGCAAUCUAGGUUAACUGCAGCCUCCACCUCCCUGAUUCAAGCAAUCCUCUCGCCUCAGCCUCUUGAGUAGCUAGGAUCACAGGCAAGCGCCACCAGAACUGGCUAAUUUUUGUAUUUUUAGUAGAGACACGGUUUUUGCCAUGUUGACCAAACUGGUGUCAAACUCCUGGGCUCAAGUGAUCUGCCCGCCUCGACCUCCCAAAGUGCUGGGAUUACUGGCACAAGCCACCAUAUCUGGCCCCUAAAUCACUUUAUAAAAAGCUCUAAAUAAACUAGGAAUACAGGAAAAUGACCUUGGAAGAAAAGAAACACACUUAUCAGUUAUAGAUGAUAUGACAAUAUACCUAAAAAUCUAACAAAUUCAACAGAUUGGGACAGGCAAGGUAGCUCACAUCUGUAAUCCCAGCACUUUGGGAGGCCAAGGUGGGUGGGUCACUUGAACCCAGAAGUUUGAAACCAGCCUGGCCAACAUGGCAAAACCCUGUCUCUACUAAAAAUACAAAAAUUAGCCGUGUGUGAUGGCAAAUGCCUGUAUUUCCAGCUACUUGGGAGGCUUAGCCAGGAGAAUCACUUGAAGACAAGAGGUACAGGUUGAGUGAGCUGAGAUCGUGCCACUGCACCCCAGCCUGGGCGACAGAGCAAGACUCUGUCUCAAAAAAAAAAAAAAACACUGUUAGACUAUUAAGAACAUUUUUAAAAAUGGCUUUAUAUAAGAUGGAAUACAGAAAUAAGUAUUACUUUCCUUUUCACUAGCAUUGAACAAUUAGAAAUUAAAAUGGGAAAAAUCACGUUCAAGAUAUUGUCAAAUUAGUUUGUAAAACAUCUAAGAAUAACUUAGAGCACUAUAGAUAUUUUUAUUAAAGGUCAUAAAAUAGAUCUAAAAUAAAUGAGACGUGGUAAUAAUUCCUCAUAAGAAGACUGAAUAGCAUUCAGAUACUGUUCCUUCCCAAGUCAAUAUGCAAAGAUAAUGCAAAUCCAAUUAGGAUCUCAGUGAAUUGUUUUGGGAAAUAGACAAGUUGGCUUUAAAAUUUAUUGGUAACAAUGAAGUUAGCAUUUGAAAAGAAGAGUCAGAAAAAGAAAUUUGCUCCCUAAGAUAAUACAUAAUUACUGAGAUUAAAAUGGUUGGCUAAUAGUAUAUAUAGAGAGAAAUAGAUCAGUGGUACAUAAGAGAGAAUCUGAAAUAGACACGUUGAUAUAUCUGGGUUUAUGUAGUGAAUCUUAUAAUUUUAUGUUGUCUGAACAUCUAUUUUGAAUAUUUAAUUUUCUCUUAUCAGUUUGUCUCUCUUGACACAGUUUCCAGUUCUGUGCUCAACCCUUUUUAGAAUUAAGUUACAUGGAUCUGACUCAUUCUAGCCAAUGAGAUGUGGGUAGAGGUGACAUAGGCAGUUCUGUGUCACUUUUACCCCUGAUCAUGAAGAUCCCUGUGUGAACCUUCAGAUCUCUCUUCUCCUUCAGCAUUACACCUUGAAACUAAAUGGUUCAUAUUUUGUGGGAACAAAAUGGAAGCAGCCUUGAUCCUUGAGUCAUCACAUGGAAGGAAGCUUCCCUUGAAGAGUCUCCAGGCUCACUUCAGACUUCGCAUAAUCAAGAAACUUUCCUGGCUUGGUGUGGUAGCUCUGCCUGUAAUCCCAACACUUUGGGAGGCCCAAGUGGGCAGAUCACCAGAGGUUAAGAGUUCAAGACCAGUCUGGUCAACAUGGGAAAACCCUGUCUAUACUAAAAAUACAAUGAUUAGCUGGGCAUUGUGACAUCUGCCUGUAAUCCCAACUAUACCAGAAGCUGAGGCAGGAGAAUUGCUUGAACCCAGGAGGUGGAGGUUGCAGUGAGCCAAGAUCGUGCCACUGCACUCUAGCCUUGGUGAUAGAGUGAGACUCAGUCUCAAAAAAAAGAAAGAAAGAAAGAAAGAAAGAAAGAAAGAAAGAAAGAAAGAAAGAAACUUUCCUAUGUUAAGCCACUGUGAUCCUAAGAUAUUUUUGCUAUUGGGAACCCAACGUUUUUUCCCUACAUUUAGAUAUUCAAUUCAACUACAAUUUAUAUUUAUAUUGUGCAAUGUGAGAAUAACUUCGUUUUUUUUUUUUUUUUUCAAAAU